rnacentral:sRNA from 1 species
UAUAAAAUAUUUUUAUUUUAUAAAAAGAAUUGUUAUUAAGUAACGCUAUACCACGAAUCCAUGAGACAAUUGUUAAAAAACUGAAGUUUUAACCCCUAUUAAAACAGCACUAGAUUUUAACCCGCGGUAUACCGCGAAGAUAAUUUAUUUUUUAAAUUAGUAUAUAUAAAAGUUUGCAAAUUAAAUCUAUUUAUUUUUAUUUUAUAGUUUACAAUUGAUAUUAAGUAACGUCCUACCAAACCCGUCUCGCCAAAUCCGUCCCGUAAAAAAAAACCGCGGUACACCGCUAAUUUAAAUAUAUAAUUAAAAUAAAUAUUUUAUGGGAUUGAAAUUGUAUUUUGGUUUUU